CAGACAGAUAACUGCUAAUGGGCAAUCCCCCCUUAUCAACCAAAACCCAACUAACAGGAAAAUGAAAGCACAGGCACAUAUCCUGCAAAAGUCCGCAGAAGGCCGCAGAACUCCGCAGAAGGCCGCAGAACUCCGCAGAAGGCCGCAGAACUCCGCAGAAGUCCGCACACAGUAAGGAAGUUGCCUCCGCGUCCAGCCCGCUGAUUGAGCAGGCCGAGAGCCAAUGCGCAAAGAAGGUCCACUAAUUAUGGAGAACCAAAGUUUUUUCUUAAAACUGACGGGACAAUCGAUGAACCUGACCACUGCAGACAUGGACUUCCCUAAACUUCAAUCUGUGGAGAGAGGCCUCAGAGUCUUCACUCGCUAUUUCAUUUUCAGGCUCCUUCCAGCAAAAUAAAAGUAAAAACAACAGCUAUUUGA
rnacentral:lncRNA from 1 species